rnacentral:tRNA from 1 species
GCAGUGUAGCUUAAUGGUCAAAGCCCCAAUCUAGUCUCCAAAACUAGAAUUUGAGGUUCAAAUCCUCAUCCCUGCGCCA